CAACACCCGAAGUCGGUGAGGCAACCCGCAAGGGAGCCAGCCGCCGAAGGUGGGGCAAGUGAUUGGGGUGAAGUCGUAACAAGGUAGCCGUACCGGAAGGUGCGGCUGGAUCACCUCCUUUCUAAGGAGA
rnacentral:rRNA from 1 species